rnacentral:rRNA from 1 species
UACGGGGGGUGCAAGCGUUGUCCGGAAUCACUGGGCGUAAAGGGCGCGUAGGUGGCGUCGUAAGUCUGUGGUGAAAGCCCGGAGCUCAACUCCGGGUCUGCCGCGGAUACUGCGAGGCUUGAGUGCUGUAGAGGGGGGUAGAAUGCCGGGUGUAGCGGUGGAAUGCGUAGAGAUCCGGCAGAAGACCGGUGGCGAAGGCGGCCCGCUGGGCAGUGGCUGACGCUGAGGCGCGACAGCGUGGGGAGCAAACAGG